AUUCCCACUUUGAGGAGCGGCCUCUACUCGACUAACACUCAACAUUUGGUUUGCUGCCGUCGUUUUGCUUGCCUCGUACAUUUAUGCUUCCCAUGAAUAUUUGAGCUUUGAGCUUUGGCCUUGGCUUCAACCGAUUCAACCCACCACAAGAGCACAAGAGUUCACCAAGUGCGUCACAAGCGCACAACAACAAAAAAAACUAGGAACACACACACACACACUGGCAAAAAAAAUGGGCAACAAACAGGAGCAGAGAGUGGGUGGGAGAGGGAGAGGGAUAGCGGAGGAAGAGAGUGAGAAAUUCGCAAUUUGGCACACUGCGAAUUACCGUUGUGCCACUCACUGCUGCUGCUGCCGCUGCGUUUUGGUUUAUUUCCUGUCCAUGCCACUGUCAAAAUCGGGACACGUUACUAAUGCGUAAAACGCUGGCCAAAAACUCCAAAGAAAAAAAUAUGAAAUCAACAUGAAAAUAGAAACGCAAUCAGAGCCAAAUGGAGGAAAUGCAGGAAAAGCGUGAAAAACGAACUAGGACUCAACUCGACGGAGGCGGCGCCCUUGCAACUGCUUGCUGCUCUGCUUGCGACUGCCUGCGACUGCGACUGUGGCUGCUGCUUGCGCGUUUGCGACUGCUGCGGCUCCUCUGCUGCGGCUUCUGCUGCUGCUGCUGCUGUUGCGUCGGCUCCCUUCGCCAAAUGCGAGUGCGUGCGAUGGCGACGAGGGACGCGGAGCAGGAAGCUGCGCCGGAGGUGCAAGCCGACCAGAGCGGCCCCACAUGAUUAAAAAGCUAACGGGGAGCGUCGCAGGACAUCUGCAGAGAGCGCAUGCCGCCGCCAGAGAGAACAAGAGAGAAAGCUUCUGCCCACAGAGACACAUUUCGCAGGCAGUGCUGGCCGUUCGAAUGAAAGGAUUAAAGCUCUUUCUAGCUUGAAAAUUUACAUUUCUAUAAAUCAGUCCGUCAUUAUUUUAGCUGUGUUGCCUAUUUUCCCAAAAUUAAUGGAAAACGCCCUUUGUACACAUCCCAUUGCAGCCAAAUAACUUUCUCCGAUUUUCUGUCCAAACACAAUUAGUUUUAUGCCAUAAAACUAGU
ensembl:ncRNA asRNA:CR43959 antisense RNA:CR43959